UCAUUAGUGUGUGUGUAUGCGUGUGUGUUUGUGUGUGUGUGUGUGUGUGUGUCACACACACACACACACACACAUACACACACACACACACACACACACACACACACACACACACAUGGAAACAAGGAACCUCUCUGAUUUCACACAAAA